CUUAUCAAUACUUGACCCAAAUACUUGAGCCACAGGAAUAAUUAUCCACACACCCAGCACACCACUUGAAAGUAUGUUAACUCAGGGAAUUAUAAACUCCAGAAGAACAAAAUUGGCAAAGAAACCUACUGUCAGAAAACAGCCUCAUCUCCAGUGCUCCAUUCUUGUCAUUGCUCGAACAGAUGCUGAAUGUAGAUAUCUGCUGCUUUGGGUACGUUUAAAAAAGAAUAUGCCUACACGACUACUUUCAGAAUGUUUCAGACUUCCUGAAGACACAAUUUCUUAUUUUUUCCCUUCUGAUUCCUUCAUUUUGGUGCUUGGAGUGGUAGUGUGUUUUUCCAGGAGGAAUGGCUCUUAUCAUCAUGAAUAUCACCUUUUGAUACAGUUCAGGUAGGCCAUCAAAUGUAAAAAAU